rnacentral:rRNA from 1 species
UACAGAGGGUGCGAGCGUUAAUCGGAAUUACUGGGCGUAAAGGGUGCGUAGGCGGUUAGCUAAGUUAGAUGUGAAAUCCCCGGGCUUAACCUGGGAAUGGCAUUUAAGACUGGUUAGCUAGAGUAGAGUAGAGGGUAGUGGAAUUUCCGGUGUAGCGGUGAAAUGCGUAGAUAUCGGAAAGAACAUCAGUGGCGAAGGCGGCUACCUGGACUCAUACUGACGCUGAGGCACGAAAGCAUGGGGAGCAAACAGG